UAAUCUCCUAUCUUUCCUUUG
rnacentral:piRNA from 1 species